rnacentral:rRNA from 1 species
AUUGAACGCUGGCGGCAGGCCUAACACAUGCAAGUCGAACGAGUGGCGGACGGGUGAGUAAUGUAUGGGGAUCUGCCCGAUGGAGGGGGAUAACUACUGGAAACUGUGGAUAAUACCGCAUACUCUCGGAUGAACCCAAAUGGGAUUAGCUAGUGGGUGGGGUAAAGGCUCACCUAGGCGACGAUCUCUAGCUGGUCUGAGAGGAUGACCAGCCACACGGGGGCUGAGACACGGCCCAGACUCCUACGUGAGGCAGCAGUGGGGAAUAUUGCGCAAUGGGGGCAAGCCUGAUGCAGCCAUGCCGCGUGUAUGAAGAAGGCCUUAGGGUUGUAAAGUACUUUCAGCAGGGAGGCGUUACCUGCAGAAGAAGCACCGGCUAACUCCGUGCCAGCAGCCGCGGUAAUUC